CUCUAAACAUUGCACUCCACGAGUAGCCUGCCUGUUACGUGAAUGCAGUAGAAGGCAAGAGGCUGAGGGAGAGAGCGUAUACCCAAGACUCCCCCUGCCUCCCCUACAUAGCCCAGCGCUACGGGUUGAUUGGAUGCCGGUGACAUCACCAGCGAGCGAAAACAGGCCUCUGGAAGGAUUUUGCCCGGAGUGGGACGGUCAAACGCUUUAAUCUCCGAUCUGCAAGAGGGAAGAGUAGAGCAUAUCCUUCCAGAGAGGUUCACAGACAGCCUAUAGAGUGGGCUCUGUUUGAGCAUGGCUGUCUGUGUUCAAGAAGAUGGGAUGUCCUUUCACUCUCGGUUGUAAGGUCGACAUUUGGACAGCUGUCACUCAAUGGUGUCUCUGUCCGAAUUUAAUGAGCCCAAUCCAAAUGUUCUUUAUCAGUCCAACCAUUUUAAGAGUACAGUAUUUCAUUAUGAUUAUAUUAAUAGCUACAUUUAUCAAACAAACCAUUCACUUCUGAACUGUUCGUGAACUGUGCCUGAAGUUUGAAGCACCCUCAAUCACACUCCUCGAGAGAAUAGAAGUAUACAUUAAAUAUGCAAGACUUUCCAAACUCAUUGAGAGAGACCAUUGUUGAAUACUAACGUCCAUAUGCUAGCUUGCACUGAAUACAAAGAAUUAUUAAGUUCAGGAAGAUGAAAUAGUGGUAGAUGGCGGAGAAGUUGAACUGAAAUGUAAACUCUACAGUCUACACUGUCCUUACCUCCAGAAAAUACUUAUGUUGGGAGUUUUAAAAAAUAAAGAAAAUUACUUUUUUGAAAAUGAACUUAAUUGCUCAAAAUUAAGUGGGUAUUAACCUACAAGUUAAGUGGGUAUUAACCCAAAAGGUGUAAACUAAUUUGACGAUAUAGCAUAUUCAAAAUCUAUUAAUUUAGAGAAACACAUAAUAGGGUAUUAAAACUACACUGAACAAAAAUCUAAAUGCAACAUACAACAAUUGCAAAUAUUUUACUGAGUUAAAGUUCAUAAAAGGAAAUCAGUCAACUGAAAUAUAUUAAUUAGGCCCUAAUCUAUGGAUUUCACAUGACUGGGAAUACAGAUAUGCAUCUGUUGAUCUCAGAUACCUUAAAGAAAAGGUAUGGUCGUGGACCAGUCAGUGACCACCAUUGGCUUAAUGGGUGACAUGUCUGGUGAGUAUGUAGGCCAUUGAAGAACUGGGACAUUUUCAGCUUCCAGGGAUUGGAUACCAGUUCUUGUGACAUGGGGCUAUGCAUUAUCAUGCUGAAACAUGAGGUGAUAGUGGCAGAUGAAUGGCACGACAAUGGGCCUCAGGAUCUUGUCACAGUAUCUCUGUAAAUUCAAAUUGCCAUAGAUAAAAAUGCAGUUGUCUGUAGCAUUGGAGGUUGCUCAUGGCAGAGAAAUUAACAUUCAAUUCUCUGGCAAAAGCUCUGGUGGCACACUCCUUCAAAA